rnacentral:rRNA from 1 species
AAAAUAUCUAUCCUCCCUCUAAGCCUAGGUAGAAAACUAAGUUAUAAGACAAGGAUGAACACGAUAUAUGGUACUUUUUAAAAUCUGGUUCCCAAAGAAAUAAAACAUUUUAAAAAGAAUUUUAAAAUAAUGUAUUUAGCUUAUGCUGAGUAUAUAUUAGUGAGCAACUAAUUUAAAAAUAUUUAAGGAAUAAUAGUCCCCUCUGUUAUAAUAAAUUACUAUUGACCUAAUUUAUUUAUUAAGCUUCUCUUCUUAUUUGGGUAAUUAAUUCUAAGAAUUAGAACUUGUUUACACUAGUAAAUAUACUUUUAUUAUUUUCUUACUUAAAUAAGUUUUAUCAAUUUUAAAUUAAAUAUAAACUAAAUAACUUGAGAUUCUCCAAACUGUUUAACAAAGACAUAGUAAGACUGUGUCUUAUGUAUCUGCCCAAUGAAUAAUUUUUUAUGGCUUUAAAGUAGCGCAAUAAUUAGUUUAUUAAUUGUAAACCUGUAUGAAGCUAGCAUUGGUUAAUCAUGUUUAUUCUUAUCUGUUGAAUCUUAGUUAUCAGUACAAACGCUGAUAUGCUCCCCGAAGACGAUAAGACCCUAAGACCUUCACCUUGUUUGGCUGGGAUAGCCUACUUAAUAUAAUAAAGAAACCUUAAUUAUUACGAACCAAUUAUUUUGCUAUACAUAGGUACCUUAGGGAUAACAGCGCGUAAUACUUUUAGAGCUCUUAUUUAAAAGAUAUUCGUGACCUCGAUGUUGAAUUAAGUAAUAUAGUGCUGCAGAAGGUGCUAUUUUAAGUCUGUUCGACU